rnacentral:misc_RNA from 1 species
GGGGGGGGUAUCAAGCAACAUAAGUUAUAAUUGAAAAAACCAAGCUUUUUCGUAUGUAAACGUCAAGAUGUUGACGCAGAAGCUUUGUUGAUAUGUGUGUUGGUGUAGGGAUAACACAUUCGGAGACAAAAGAUAAAAUAAGACAGAUUAAAGAUUUUUUUAGUCGAGAAGUUCAUGAAGGGGAUAAUAAUUGCUUCCUAACCAGGUGGAAUAUGAUGGUCAAUACGCUUAUUUGUAUUGUUUACAUAUAUCUAUUCGCAAGAAGAAAUAUUUUUUGUCAAUGCCUUAAGAGCAUUUUUUUAAAUAAGUAUAAAACGAAUUGUCUCUC